AAAGUACUCCCUCUGUCCCAAAAUUCUUGUCUUACAUUUGUCUAAAUACGGAUGUAUCUAGUUACGUUUUAAUAUUAGAUACAUCCGUAUCUAGACAAAUCUAAGACAAGAAUUUUGGGACGGAGGGAGUAUAAA
rfam:Triticum aestivum genome assembly, contig: Triticum_aestivum_CS42_TGACv1_scaffold_499411_6BL